rnacentral:rRNA from 1 species
GAUCCUGGCUCAGGAUGAACGCUAGCUACAGGCUUAACACAUGCAAGUCGAGGGGCAGCAUGGUCUUAGCUUGCUAAGGCCGAUGGCGACCGGCGCACGGGUGAGUAACACGUAUCCAACCUGCCGUCUACUCUUGGACAGCCUUCUGAAAGGAAGAUUAAUACAAGAUGGCAUCAUGAGUCCGCAUGUUCACAUGAUUAAAGGUAAUUCCGUUAGUACGAUGGGAGG